rnacentral:rRNA from 1 species
GACGAACGCUGGCGGCGUGCCUAAUACAUGCAAGUCGAACGCACAGUUUAUACCGUAGCUUGCUACACCAUAGACUGUGAGUUGCGAACGGGUGAGUAACGCGUAGGUAACCUGCCUGGUAGCGGGGGAUAACUAUUGGAAACGAUAGCUAAUACCGCAUAAUAUUGAUUAUUGCAUGAUAAUUGAUUGAAAGAUGCUAUUGCAUCACUACCAGAUGGACCUGCGUUGUAUUAGCUAGUAGGUGAGGUAACGGCUCACCUAGGCGACGAUACAUAGCCGACCAGGGGGGGGGAUCGGCCACACUGGGACUGGGACACGGCCCAGACUGCUACGGGAGGCAGCAGUAGGGAAUCUUCGGAGAUGGACGAGAGUCUGACCGAGCAACGCCGGGAGAGUGAAGAAGGUUUUCGGGCCGUAAAGAUCUGUUGUAAGAGAAGAACGGGUGUGAGAGUGGAAAGUUCACACUGUGACGGUAUCUUACCAGAAAGGGACGGCUAACUACGUG